CCUCAAGUCCUCGACAGGACCUGCCCAAGAGCUCAGCUACCGCGAGGAGGUGACUCACCGGGGGCGGAGACAGGAGGAGUGGCACCAACUGUGAGUAGUUAAAAACCUACCCAGGGAGCGCGGCGACCAGAGCGGGUCGAGGCAGUUUGCGCAAGCAGGCGAGCAGGAUGGUGAGCACUCGCCGUACGACCAGGGUCUGAUCUGGGAGCUCUGCCUUGGCUGACCCGGUGGUGGCCAGCGUAGGCACCCAGACAGAGCCGUUCACAGGACUGCAACAUGUCUUCUGAAGUAGAUGACGAAGAAACAAACAUCCAUGGGAUCAUCUGCUUAGGUCUGAUCCUCUGGUUUUGUGGCUGCCUCUUGGAAUUCAACAGAUACCUAUGCAACAGUAAGGAAAAGAAGUGAGCAAAGGAGAUAUGAGGACACUCCAGUACUUCCUCAAGGAGUCAAGCACCUGUCAAGUUGUAUUGUUGAUACACCCCAGCAAUGAGACACUACAAAAGCUGUUCAAAGAAGAACAUAUUUUUCCUGAGCAUUGUUCUGGGGAAAAAAACCCACAACCUCAAAGCGAAUCUUUUCAGGUGGCAAUAAGGAACCCCAAGGGAAUAUUCAAGAAUCCUUAGUGUGUUUAGAGUUUUAUUGCAGGAAAACGGUAUGAUGUUCUUUCUCUAGCACUUACUUGCAGUAAAAGAACAUCACGAUCAUACAGAAGAGUCUUCCCGUUUUCAGCUCCGAUGCCUGCUCCUGCAGUGCUCUCCGGCAACCUGGAGUGGCAGUGGCAGGGACUGUCCAGCUCAGCACCUCAGUGAAGACUCUUGAGAGACUGUAGCUGCCAAACUGCGGUGAGGCACUACUGAGCAUGUACAAAAAGUGGUUCUCAUAAAGGACUUAUCUUUGCGGCAGUUCAUCAAGGAGAUUACGAAAGGCUCACACCUAUCACAGAAGCCAUUUUACUGCCAAAUUUAAAGUCCCUCACCUGCAUUAAAAAUACAUAUGAGCAUCUCAAUAAUUUUAGUAUUUUAAGCAAUACAACAAUUUGGGAUAAAUGCAUUGAAAAGAAG
rnacentral:lncRNA from 1 species